AAAAACAUGUCCUUUUGUUAUUAUUUAUAUAAGGUUUAACCUGCCCAAUGAUUUUUUUUGAAUGGCCGCAGUAUUUUAACUGUGCUAAGGUAGCAUAAUCAUUUGUCUUUUAAUUAAAGGCUUGAAUGAAUGGUUGGACGAGACAUAUGCUUUCUUUGGUUUAAUUUUUGAAUUUAAUUUUUAAGUUAAAAAGCUUAAAUUUUUUUAUGGGACGAGAAGACCCUAUAGAUCUUUAUAAUUUUAAUUUUUUAAUAUUUUAGUGUUAUAAUAUUAUUGAAUAGUUAAGUUUAUUUGGUUGGGGUGAUUUUAGAAUUAAUUAAACUUCUAUUUGUUUUUUUCAUUUAUUUAUGUUUAUUUGAUCCAUUAUUAUUGAUUACAAGAUUAAGUUACCUUAGGGAUAACAGCGUAAUUUUUUCGGAGAGUUCAUAUCGAUGAAGGAGUUUGCGACCUCGAUGUUGGAUUAAAAUAAGUUUUUGAUGCAGUAGUC
rnacentral:rRNA from 1 species